rnacentral:rRNA from 1 species
UACGUAGGUCCCGGGCGUUGUCCGGAUUUAUUGGGCGUAAAGCGAGCGCAGGUGGUUUAUUAAGUCUGGUGUAAAAGGCAGUGGCUCAACCAUUGUAUGCAUUGGAAACUGGUAGACUUGAGUGCAGGAGAGGAGAGUGGAAUUCCAUGUGUAGCGGUGAAAUGCGUAGAUAUAUGGAGGAACACCGGUGGCGAAAGCGGCUCUCUGGCCUGUAACUGACACUGAGGUUCGAAAGCGUGGGGAGCAAACAGG